AUGCAGUUGACGAUUCUUCUCACAGCCUUCGCGGGGUUUUUUGGGGUCCUGCGCUCAGAGGCCGCUGCAGAUUCCACAGAGGUGCCGUCUCCCAGAAUCCUCCAGCCCCAUAGGUCCAAAAUAAGAGCUGUUAAAGGAGAGCAGUUGAUUAUUGAAUGUAAAGCAGACCCAGGCCUUCCUGAUGACUUUACCCAUGUCUACUGGCUGGUCAACAGCACCUUCCCAGAGGUAGCCUUCACUGAUGGCAGAGUAUCAGAAACAGAGGUAUCAGCCUCAGAGGACGGCAGGGUGAUCCAGAGGAGUCUGGUGUUAAAGAACGUGACUGCAGAGGAUUUUAAGUCCACUUUCACCUGUGUAAUAAGCAGCAUAGCUGGGCUUGACCGAAGGACUGUCACACUGAUGCCCAAUCACAAGGCUAGUUUUCCCUCAUUACCUCAUGUCCUCUCCCUUCGUCCUUCACUCACUCCCAACUCAAAACACCAGGGGAAACCGAGAAAGGAAUUUAAGAAGAAACCUAGCAAAAAGGAUCAGGGGAAAAAAAAAAACCACGCUAGCAAGAAAUUAGAUUAG
rnacentral:lncRNA from 8 species